GAUCUCUUCUAGGUCUUGAGGUUUAUAUUUUUCCAAAUGAGAAGAGGCAAAGUGCAAUCCAAUAAAAUAGCAACCAAGUACACAAUGCAAAUGUAUUAACUUACAUAGAAGUUAGUAGUAGCAGAUGUGGCAUAUCACCUUAAGUUAAUGAAGUAAGUCCUACGCGUUUCAUCCCACUUAGGGGCUUUCUCAUGGACAACUCUGUGCUUUUCAAAAUACAAAGUGCAUACAAGUCCCUCCUCUCCUUUCCAGUGCUUAUAUACCACCUUUCCUGUUUCCAGC